rnacentral:lncRNA from 1 species
AGAUGGAGUCUUGCUAUGUUGCCCAGGCUGGAGUUCACUGGCUAUUCACAGGUGCAAUUAUAGGGCACGACAGCCUUGAACUCCUGGCCUCAAGUGAUCCUCUUGCCUCAGUCUCUGGAGUCUCCAAAACAGGGGAAGGAUGGAAGAAAUAAAAUACAUAAUGGAAUGGUGGGAAGACUCCGGAUCAGGAAACAUGAAUUUAAGUCUCCAUUUAUCUAAGUUAUUUGCUCAGAAAUCCCUCAAUGUGCAAGCUGGACUAAAGUGGGAAGAAAAAUCAUGGAGUAUCCAUUUAGGAGUAUAUUCCAACAAUCAAGAUGAGAAGCAGCGAGAGCCUGGAUAACUUGUGGAUACAUAAGGCUGACUUAACAGAAGAGAGGAACGGACUGAGGCAAAUGAGGGUCAUGCUGGAAGCCAUGUGAGUCCUGGGGGUGGAAAAGCUAGCUUA